AUAAUGAUACUCACACUCAAAAUGUGUUCCGCUGCUAACUACAGGGGAAGGUGAAAUUCCUGUGG
rnacentral:ncRNA from 1 species